UGAAAGUGGAUGUACCCAUGGGAUUUGC
rnacentral:piRNA from 1 species